rnacentral:rRNA from 1 species
GACGAACGCUGGCGGCGUGCUUAACACAUGCAAGUCGAACGGAAAGGCCCUGCUUUUGUGGGGUGCUCGAGUGGCGAACGGGUGAAUAACACGUGAGUAACCUGCCCUUGACUUUGGGAUAACUUCAGGAAACUGGGGCUAAUACCGGAUAGGAGCUCCUGCUGCAUGGUGGGGGUUGGAAAGUUUCGGCGGUUGGGGAUGGACUCGCGGCUUAUCAGCUUGUUGGUGGGGUAGUGGCUUACCAAGGCUUUGACGGGUAGCCGGCCUGAGAGGGUGACCGGCCACAUUGGGACUGAGAUACGGCCAAGACUCCUACGGGAGGCAGCAGUGGGGAAUAUUGCACAAUGGGCGGAAGCCUGAUGCAGCAACGCCGCGUGCGGGAUGACGGCCUUCGGGUUGUAAACCGCUUUCGCCUGUGACGAAGCGUGAGUGACGGUAAUGGGUAAAGAAGCACCGGCUAACUACGUG